rnacentral:lncRNA from 1 species
UUUUGUGCUAAUAUUGGCUUUGGCUGAGACUCAUUACUUUUGCUGAAAAAGGAUCACUAGUUGUCCCUACUUGCCAUUCUCAUUUCACUCAUGUAUAAACUGAGGCUCAGAGGACAUAAGGGCCUUUUGAGCCAUAGCACUGAAAAGGCUACAGCCUUGAACUAUUCAUUCUUAGGGCAGAGAUCCCUAUUUCAUAACUCUGGUAGGCUUGUCUAUGUAUUUUUUUCUUGGAGUGGAUCUUUUUCUUCCUUCCUUCCUUCCUUCCUUCCUUCCUUCCUUCCUUCCUUCCUUCCUUCCUUCCUUCCUUCCUUCCUUCCUUCCUUCCUUCCUUCCUUCCUUCCUUCCUUCCUUCCUUCCUUCCUCCCUCCUUCCCUCCCUCUCUCUUUCUCUCUCUCUUUCUCUCUCUCUUUCUUUCUUUCUUUCUUUCUUUCUUUCUUUCUUUCUUUCUUUCUUUCUUUCUUUCUUUCUUUCUUUCUUUCUUUCUUUCUUUCUUUCUUUCUUUCUUUUUCUUUCUUCCUUUCCUUUCUUUCUUUUUUCCUUCCUUCCUUCCUUCCUUCCUUCCUUCCUUCCUUCCUUCCUUCGUUCCUUCCUUCCUUCCUUCCUUCCUUCCUUCCUUCCUUCCUUCCUUCCUUCCUUCCUUCCUUCCUUCCUUCCUUCCUUCCUUCCUUCCUUUCUAUGUCUCAAUUAACUUUAUUUUUUUCACUUUAAACAUUAUUUUAUUUGGUCAUUUCCAAACAUUAUUCAUUGGAAACAAAGAUCAUUUUCUUUUCCUCCACCCCACCCCCCUUCCCACCACCUCUCCCGUAGCCGAUGCAUGAUUCCACUGGGUAUCACAUGUGUUUUUGGUUCAAACUCAUUUCCAUGUUGUUGGUAUUUGCAUUAGAGUGUUCAUUUAGAGUCUCUCCUCAGUCGUAUCCCCUUAACCCCUGUAGUCAAGCAAUUGUCUUUCCUCAGUGUUUUUACUCUCACAGUUUAUCCUCUGCUUGUGGAUAAUGUUUUUUAGAUCCCUUCAGAUUGUUCAGGGACAUUGCAUUGACACUAAUGGAGAAAUCCAUUAGGUUCGAUUGAACCACAGUGUAUCAGUCUCUCUGUGUACAAUGUUUUCCUGGUUCUGCUCCUUUUGCUCUGCAUCACUUCCUGGAGGUCGUUCCAUUCUCCAUGGAACUCCUCUAAUUUAUUAUUCCUUUUAGCACAAUAGUAUUCCAUCACCAACAUAUACCACAAUUUGUUCAGCCAUUCCCCAAUUGAAGGACAUCCCCUCAUUUUCCAAUUUUGGCCACCACAAAGAGGGCAGCUAUGAUUAUUCUUGUACAGGUCUUUUUACUUAUUGUCUCUUUGGGGUAUAAACCCAGCAAUGCUAUAGUGGGAUCAAAGGGCAGACAGUCUUUUAUCACCCUUUGGGCAAAGUUCCAAAUUGCCCUCCAGAAUGGUUGGAUCAAUUCACAACUCCACCAGCAAUGAAUUAAUGUCCCUACUUUGCCACAUCCCCACUUUGCCACAUCCCCUCCAGCAUUCAUUACUUUCCUUUGCUGUCAUGUUGGCCAAUCUGCUAGGUGUGAGGUGAUACAUAAGGGUUGUUUUGAUUUGCAUCUCUCUGAUUAUAAGAGAUGUAGAACACUUUUUCAUGUGCUUAUUAAUAGUUUUGAUUUCUUUGGCUGAGAACUGCCUGUUCAUGUCCCUUGCCCAUUUAUCUAUUGGAGAAUGGCUU